AUGGUGAAGGUCCAGCGAGGUCAGUGUGGCCGAGCAGAGCCAUCAGAGAGGCAGAGAGGCAGCAGGGAGCCGAGUGACGCAGGGCCCGGCAGGCGGUGAUGAAGACUUUGACCUUCAUCGCUGGGAGAUGGGAAAUGAUCUCCCAUAGCAUUUUGAGUACAAGAAUAACACAUGACAGCAGCUUCUGUGCCGAGAAAAGUUGGAGGAAGCCAAGGCAGCGUGGGGAGCGAGCUCUGCCGGACAACCCACUGCUCUGCAAACCACUGAGGCUCUACAGGAACUCGCUUUGCCUCUAUCUCCUUUUAUUCCACACCCCACCCUCCCGCCACUCCCCCUUCCUGACAUUCUUUCCCUUCCUGGAAUGGGCCACCUGAUGCCAGUGUCUUUGGGAGCCCGAGUCUGCAUUCCUGGCAAGCCCGCAAGUGAAUCAGAUAGCAUUAAAACCCGAGAACCACCUCCCUCAGGUACGUUGGGAACCCAAGCCUUGAACCCCAGAGACGGAAACUCUGUUCCAGAGUUCCCAGGGUGACGAAUGACACAUCCAGGAGGAUCAAACCGGUCCGAGAAUUAUGAAAAUCCCAUGACAGAAGGUGCAAGAGAACUAGAUGGCUGUUGAUGAAUCAGUAAGGAUAUAAGGAAGAAUUAUGGUGAAAUGAAUGGAGGACGGAGACAGUCUUCAAUGCCACCCAUGUCCUGAAAACCGUGUAGUCGACUUAUGUAGCAUCACACGAUGGUAAAUGUCUUCUGCCUUCCCGAGUGUGCUCCAGGCUUGUCAGGACCCGGACAAAGUUGGUGUCAAUGAUGGAUGCCAGUCACAUCUGGGGAGGUCAGAGGUCAGGGAGGGAAGUGGGGGUGGGGCCCAACAUCCCAGGUUGUGUUGUGUUGUGCUAACCUCAAUUUCCAGGAAAUGACUUCAGGAUGAGUAAAAAGUUUGUUGGCCCUCAGUAGAGUCAGAAUGAAUUGAAAUAAAAUGAAUGAAUGAA